rnacentral:lncRNA from 1 species
GGGAUGGCGGGGCACACGAGGUAAUUCCCAGCCAUUGACCCCCCAUUUUCUCUCUCGCCCUCCCUCUUUCUCUCCACCCCCAUCUUUCCUGGAAACUCGCUUUGGGCGCGGCAGACCGCGUAGGACCUCACGGCAAGCUAAGUAACUGCUGGUCUCUCAGCGAGAGCCUGGAAAACACAGCUCCGGGGUCCUACCUCGACCCCUCUCCAGCGGAGGAGUGGAGGUCCUACUUUAUAUUUUCUCCAUCGGGAGGGGAUCCCAGAUUCUAGUGACUUCAGGAGUACUUUCCAGUGUCGUUAGUCAGGUUUCCCUUCCAGACCUUAGCUUACUUUUGGGUCCAGCUGAGUAGAAUGUGGUGGAGGGUGAAAGGCAGUAGGGCCAGAAUCCAGAAUCAACUUCAUUCCUUGGCUCAUAGUAAGUAGCUACCCUACCAUAUCACUUGCCGAAAGGUGGAUUUGCUUAGUGUGGACACCCUUCCUCCUGGUCAGGAGAAUAUUGGCGGAAAGUGGCUGGUUCCUCUGGAAUAUUUCUGACCUCUAAACAGAGCACAGUUCUUGCAGCCUCCACACCCUACUUCACCACCAUAAUGUUUCUGGGUGUAUGUUUGCGGCGCAUGUGUGUAGCGGUAGAUCGGGAGAGGUUCCUACAGCAGAUCCCCCGCCAAAAACCAAAAAGGGGGGCGGGAAGAACACGCUUGCUCGGGGGAUUUGUUCCCUCCCCUUCCCCUGUGGCCUAAGAAGGAGGGACUGGGUGAUCUUUCUUUCUCUUCUCUAUGCAUUUCCUUCCUCCUUUUUCCCUUCGAUUUUUGUUUCGCUGUCUGUAUUCCUUUUCUUCAAUGUUUCUGCCAUCUUUCUCUAGCUCGAUUCCUACCCUUGGACACUGUGCCUCCCGGGCUUGCCCCACCCUUUCCCCCCCAAUCUAGAGACACCCGCACAUUGCUCCAGCCCUAAGGCCCGCAGGCCCUUCACGCCAGCAGGAUUGGGGUGUGCGUCCACGUGGCGCUGAGUUUGUCCGCUUUUCAGGUUUCAGUGCGUGAUCUCUUCUCUGUCCCCUACCCUGUUACAGGAUGACGGAGCGGCCG